GACGAACGCUGGCGGCGCGCUUAACACAUGCAAGUCGAACGGAAAGGCCUGCUUUCCCUUGUGGAUUGCGGGUACUCGAGUGGCGAACGGGUGAGUAACACGUGAGUUAUCUGCCCCCAACUUGGGUAUAAGCCUGGGUAACUGGGUCUAAUUCCCGAUAGGACUGCAGGGUGGUGCCUGUGUUGGAACACGAUUUUCUAGUGGUUGGGGAUGAGGUCGGGGCCUAUCAGCUUGUUGGUGGGGUAAUGGCCUACCAAGGCGGCGACGGGUAGCCGGCCUGAGAGGGUGCACGGCCGCAUUGGGACUGCGAUACGGCCCAGAAUGCGACGGGAGGCAGCAGUGGGGAAUAUAGCGCAAGGGGGGGAAGCCUGACGCAGCGACGCGGGGUGGGAGAUGACGGCCUUCGGGUUGUAAUCUCCUUUCGAAAGAGAGGAAGCCACCUGGUUGGAAGGGUGGUGACGGUAGUGGUAGAAGAAGCACCGGCUAACUACGUG
rnacentral:rRNA from 1 species